GGAUUUUCGGUUGUUUGGGAUGAAGGUCGAAGCGAUUAGCUUCAUUGUUAUUUAAGAAACCACCAGGAUUUGCCCGUCUCUCUUUCACAAAAUACCGAAUGUCACAGAAGACUACAUAUUAAAAGCACAAGACCACUAAUUUUGAGCGAAGUUUAUCGAACCGGAAAGGAUAAAAGGCAAAGUUGACUACGACUGAAUUUGAGCUUAGAACAAAGAGACUGAAGAAAUGCAGCAAAAAGCAUUUUGUCAGAACGAUUCUGCCGAUUCCCCGCCUUCAACUGAUAGCUAAUUAACCGCAAGAACUUGUUUUAAAAAUGUAUGGAACCAUUAUUAUUGGAAAGAUGGACACUAAAAUAUUUAGAUGAAUCUAAUUAAUUUGCAACGGUAAUUAUUCAUACGGAGUUGAAAUAGUUAUUUGACAUUACAGAUGAAUGCUAAACAAAAAGCUGUAGAUUAGGAAACACUGUACGUCAUUCUUGAUGCUCGGUGAAACAGUAACUGUUUGGAAGGAUACAAUGGUAAUCCUUUGUUAGCUCUGGAUGUGUACAUUGUCUAUAACAUUGAGAAAAAUGUUGAACUUCGUAAUAAUAAUAGUAAAUAAAUGAGUCAAUUAAUAUGUGAAUUCUC